GGCAUGAGUAAAGUUUUAUCCUGUUCGGUUCUAUAGAAAAAAAUUCACAUAACAUUUCAUUGCAUAUAAGAAAAUAACCAUCAUUGGAAGUUAACCAAUCAAAUUUCUCCCCUUAUUUUAUCUGUGUACAAGGUUUAGUCACCAUGUAACCUCAAGAUUACAAAAUUUUCUAUAGAAAUCCCAAAUAAAAAAUAAUGGUGUUUUGAAAUACCCA
rnacentral:lncRNA from 1 species